rnacentral:rRNA from 1 species
UACAGAGGUCUCAAGCGUUGUUCGGAUUCAUUGGGCGUAAAGGGUGCGUAGGUGGCGCGCUAAGUCAGGUGUGAAAUUUCGGAGCUUAACUCCGAAACUGCAUUUGAUACUGGCGUGCUUGAGGACUGGAGAGGAGACUGGAAUUCAUGGUGUAGCAGUGAAAUGCGUAGAGAUCAUGAGGAAGACCAGUGGCGAAGGCGAGUCUCUGGACAGUUCCUGACACUGAGGCACGAAGGCCAGGGGAGCAAACGGG